UACGAAGGGGGCUAGCGUUGUUCGGAAUUAUUGGGCGUAAAGAGCUCGUAGGCGGUUUGUCGCGUCUGCUGUGAAAUCCCGCGGCUCAACCGCGGGUCUGCAGUCGAUACGGGCAGGCUAGAGUUCGGUAGGGGAGACUGGAAUUCCUGGUGUAGCGGUGAAAUGCGCAGAUAUCAGGAGGAACACCGAUGGCGAAGGCAGGUCUCUGGGCCGAUACUGACGCUGAGGAGCGAAAGCGUGGGGAGCGAACAGG
rnacentral:rRNA from 1 species